CUAAUUUAAACAAAAGGAUUAAUAAAUGGAAUAGUUUUGUCUGUGUUGAAUGCUUGGUCUCCAAAGUAAAGGUCAAACAAAGUUGAUGUCCUUUGGAGUUUAUGACAUGUGACACGUUACCCUGUAAUAUGGUAACUAAGCAUGACAGGUGGUGCAAAGUAUUCCUGUUUGAAACCCUAUUAACUCAACCAAUAAUUUGCAUCACUUUUUACCAAAA